rnacentral:rRNA from 1 species
AACGAACGCUGGCGGCAUGCCUAACACAUGUAAGUCGAACGCGUGUAGCAAUACACGAGUGGCGAACGGGUGAGUAACGCGUGGGAACCUGCCUAGUGGUAGGGAAUAACCGCGGGAAACUGCGGAUAAUACCCUAUGAGCCCUACGGGGGAAAGAUUUAUCGCCAUUAGAGGGGACAGCGUCGGAUUAGCUUGUUGGUGAGGUAACGGCUCAGCAAGGCAACGAUCCGUAGCUGGUCUGAUAGGAUGAGCAGCCACACUGGGACUGAGAUACGGCCCAGACUCCUACGGGAGGCAGCAGUGGGGAAUAUUGGACAAUGGGGGCAACCCUGAUCCAGCAAUGCCUCGUGAGUGAAGAAGGCCUUAGGGUUGUAAAGCUCUUUCGGCGGGGACGAUGAUGACGGUACCCGCAGAAGAAGCCCCGGCUAACUUCGUGCCAGCCGCCGCCGUAAAAC